rnacentral:rRNA from 1 species
UAAAAGGUCCAGCCUGCCCAGUGAUAACAUUUAACGGCCGCGGUAAUCUGACCGUGCGAAGGUAGCAUAAUCACUUGUUCUUUAAAUGAGGACUAGUAUCAACGGCACCACGAGAGUUACACUGUCUCCUUUCUCCAAUCAGUGAAACUGAUCUUCCCGUGAAAAAGCGGGAAUUAAAAUAUAAGACGAGAAGACCCCAUGGAGCUUUAAACCCAACUUCACCCCCUGCACCUAAAACCACUUAAAUCAGGAGACCUGUAUGCUUGGUUUUAGGUUGGGGUGACCAUGGAGCACAACAUAACCUCCUUGAUAAAAGAAAUUUUUCUUAUCUAUGAGUAACUUCUCUAAGAAUUAGCACUCUAAUAUAAAAUGAUCCGAUAAUCGAUCAACGAACCAAGUUACCCUGGGGAUAACAGCGCAAUCUACUUCAAGAGCCCCUAUCGACAAGUAGGUUUACGACCUCGAUGUUGGAUCAGGGUAUCCUAGUGGUGCAGCAGCUUCUAAUGGUUCGUUUGUUCAACGAUUAAAACCCU